GGCCGUGUGGCGAAAUGGCAUCGCGUCUGACUACGAUCAGUACGUGCUCUUCUGGGUCCGUAGCCCGAAUCAGGAGAUUGUAGGUUCGACCCCUACCUCGGUCA
rnacentral:tRNA from 1 species